CGGCUGAGUGAGCGGCGUCUGCGAUGCGCAUCUCCAAGUGUUGAGCUUCUUCGGUGUAAACGGCGUGGGAGGUGUAGGUUUCGAGGAAUUGUUGCAGGAAACUGAGGCUUUGAGCGAGGGAAUGGACUUGUUGUUUGUGGAGACAGAGUGGAGGGCGAGGAUGGUGCUCGAUUUGGUGUAUGAUGUGCGUGAGAGAAACCAGAGCUGCAUAAGCAGCUGCCAUUUCUUCUUCAAC
rnacentral:lncRNA from 1 species